rnacentral:rRNA from 1 species
AUUGGUUUGGUUGUCGUCUCGAAGCAAUACGGACGCACCGGUCCCACAAGAACUGUCAGGUUGGCUUGCGUCCAGCUUAGGCUGCUCGACGGGUGUAGAGAUGGUGCAGACCGCCGGAAUGCCUGGAUGAUCUGCCUGGCGGUCCAUUCCGAUGUUGGGUGAUCGGUGACAUUGAAGUGCAGGACCUUUCUGCGGUCAUGUGACAAGACCAGAAACACGAACAGGACCUGGAAGGUGGCUGUAGGUAUCGUGAAGAAAUCGACUGCGACCAGGUCCUUUGCGUGGUUGUCGAGAAACGUUCGCCAGGU